rnacentral:rRNA from 1 species
UGGGGAAUAUUGGACAAUGGGGGGAACCCUGAUCCAGCGAUGCCGCGUGGGUGAAGAAGGCCUUCGGGUUGUAAAGCCCUUUAAGCUGGGAAGAAGUUGAUGUCGUGAAUAGCGGCAUUGAUUGACGGUACCGGCAGAAUAAGCACCGGCAAACUCUGUGCCAGCAGCCGCGGUAAUACAGAGGGUGCGAGCGUUAAUCGGAAUUACUGGGCGUAAAGGGCGCGUAGGUGGUUGUAAACGUGUGAUGUGAAAUCCCUGGGCUUAACCUAGGAAGUGCAUCGCAAACGAAAUGACUGGAGUAUUGGAGAGGGUAGCGGAAUUUCCGGUGUAGCGGUGAAAUGCGUAGAGAUCGGAAGGAACGUCAAUGGCGAAGGCAGCUACCUGGCCAAAUACUGACACUGAGGCGCGAAAGCGUGGGGAGCAAACAGG